AACGAACGCUGGCGGCAUGCCUAACACAUGCAAGUCGAACGAGACCUUCGGGUCUAGUGGCGCACGGGUGCGUAACGCGUGGGAACCUGCCCUUAGGUUCGGAAUAACUCCCCGAAAGGGGUGCUAAUACCGGAUAAUGUCUUCGGACCAAAGAUUUAUCGCCUUUGGAUGGGCCCGCGUUGGAUUAGCUAGUUGGUAGGGUAAAAGCCUACCAAGGCGACGAUCCAUAGCUGGUCUGAGAGGAUGAUCAGCCACACUGGGACUGAGACACGGCCCAGACUCCUACGGGAGGCAGCAGUGGGGAAUAUUGGACAACGGGCGAAAGCCUGAUCCAGCAAUGACGCGUGAGUGAUGAAGGCCUUAGGGUUGUAAAGCUCUUUUACCCGGGAUGAUAAUGACAGUACCGGGAGAAUAAGCUCCGGCUAACUCCGUG
rnacentral:rRNA from 1 species